AUUGAACGCUGGCGGCAUGCCUUACACAUGCAAGUCGAACGGUAACAGGUCUUCGGAUGCUGACGAGUGGCGAACGGGUGAGUAAUACAUCGGAACGUGCCUAGUAGUGGGGGAUAACUACUCGAAAGAGUGGCUAAUACCGCAUGAGAUCUACGAAUGAAAGCAGGGGAUCGCAAGACCUUGUGCUACUAGAGCGGCCGAUGGCAGAUUAGGUAGUUGGUGGAUAAAAGCUUACCAAGCCGACGAUCUGUAGCUGGUCUGAGAGGACGAUCAGCCACACUGGGACUGAGAAACGGCCCAGACUCCUACGGGAGGCAGCAGUGGGGAAUUUUGGACAAUGGGCGCAAGCCUGAUCCAGCAAUGCCGCGUGCAGGAUGAAGGCCUUCGGGUUGUAAACUGCUUUUGUACGGAACGAAAAGCCCCGGGUUAAUACCCUGGGGUCAUGACGGUACCGUAAGAAUAAGCACCGGCUAACUACGUGCCAGCAGCCGCAGUAA
rnacentral:rRNA from 1 species